CGCGGUCCAGGCUAGCGGGGAGAUACCGCCAAGCGCUCACCUUCUCAGAGCUUCUCCUCGGGCUUCACUGCCGCCCUAAAGGUUACUGUGAUCUCGGCUUGAGAGCAAGGUGGACAGCCAUGGCGGCGUCUUUGUGGGUUGGACCUCGAGGGACCAUAAACAAUUAUCCAGGCUGCUCCAGCUCAGAGGAUUCCCUUUCCCUCCUACAACUACUGUUUUCCUGUAUGACCCAUAAGGUUUUCCUACUCCUGCUCUUCUCUCUGAUCCCAAGAGCAGUAGCCCUGGCUCUUGACAGCCUGCCCCUCUCCUCUCUGCCCCAGAGAUGUAGCCAUUUUGAACAUCUUGGAAGUUCCAAAAGGCUCUGGCUAUUCUGUCUCUCAUUUCUACAAAAAAUAUAAUAAAAUCUAUAUAAACCUUU
rnacentral:lncRNA from 1 species